UAAGGAACAUAAUAUAAAAGAAUAAUCAAAUAUAUAACUCAUAACAAUCUAAACAUGAUCUCAUAAUCCAUCGGAACCCAACAAACCGAGCAUAGCAAUAACAAGAGAAUUACAUAGAUGUCUUGAUCAUGUAGGGCAGUUCACAAGGACUAACCAUUGAAGCACAAGAUUGGAGAGAAGACAUCACAUAGCUACUGGUCAUGGACCCAUGGUCCAAGGAGGACUACUCACGA
rnacentral:lncRNA from 1 species